rnacentral:lncRNA from 10 species
AUGCAACUGAGUUCAGGCCGGGGGACUGUGAGCGAUGUACUCCACUUCCAGGCUUGGGCUAAUUACCUCCUAUGUGCGGUCCUAGCUCCUUGUUCUUCUUCCACAGCGGAUGUGCAUGAGCACAGGACUUGGAUGCUACUUACUGAAGACACUUUUUCUGCAGUGUCAACAUCAUCUUCAUCAUUACUAUUACUACAAUCACCUUGAUUCAGAACCCAUCAGUCAAUGAAUGAACAACUGGAGCCUCACUAUUGGUGUGAAUAAUUUCUUUGAUAUCCACUUCUUCCAGCUUGCUGAUAGACUCUGAAGUAUCCUCAGCUCUUGGCCCAGUGAGUCUUCUGUGCAUGCUGCUGGGGGAAAUCAGCCAGAACUGCUCUGCUGGACAAGAUUCUCAGAAUAGAGGCUGCUAACAAGCCCAGAUGGCAGUUGCAGCCAUCUUGUGACUAGAAGAAGAGGAAGCUCCAUACUCAGGGGCUCCAGAACACUAGAGUCACAGUCCUGAGACACAUACCUGGAGGCUGCCCUGCGUGUGGACUUCGGUAUGUUUAAUAAUAAAUUUCUUAAUAUUUUAAGCCAGUUUUAACUGUGUGUCUUACACUUAAAGCCAAAUGUGCUCUAACUGUAAAAAGUAAGAUGGGGGAAUACUAAUUCUCAUUAUAAUCUUCUCCAACCAACUUUUAAAAAAUAAAUUCUACUGUAUAUAUUUGAGGUAUACAACACAAUGUUAUGAGAUAGUAAAACGAUUACUGUAGUAAAGCAAAUUAACAUAUUCAUCAUCUCACAUAGUUAUCUAUUUUUUAUGGCAAACACAGCUAAAAUCUACUCAUUUGGCAAAAAUCCUGAAUACAAUACAAUAUUAUUAACUAUAGUCCUCAUGCUUUAAAUUAGAUCUCUAAACUUGUUCAUCCUGCAUAUCUGCUACUUUAUAUCCUUUGAACUACAUCUUCCCAUUUUCUCCCAGCUUCCAUUGAUUUUCUUC